AGAGUUUGAUCCUGGCUCAGGACGAACGCUGACGGUGUGCUUUAGGCAUGCAAGUCGAACGAGAAAGCCCUUCGGGGUGAGUAAAGUGGCGAACGGGUGAGUAACACGUGGGCAACCUGCCCCUCGCAGGGGGACAACCGGAGGAAACUCCGGCUAAUACCCCGUACGCUCCACGCAUCGCAUGUCGUGUGGAGGAAAGGUAGCUUCGGCCAUCCGGCGAGGGAUGGGCCCGCGGUGCAUUAGCUAGUUGGUGGGGUAACGGCCUACCAAGGCGGUGAUCGGUAGCUGGUCUGAGAGGACGGCCAGCCACACGGGGACUGAGACACGGCCCCGACUCCUACGGGAGGCAGCAGUGGGGAAUAUUGCGCAAUGGGCGGAAGCCUGACGCAGCGACGCCGCGUGGGGGAUGACGGCCUUCGGGUUGUAAACCUCUUUCGGCCCCGACGAAGCGUGAGUGACGGUAGGGGUAGAAGAAGCACCGGCCAACUACGUGCUAGCAGCCGCGGUAAUUC
rnacentral:rRNA from 1 species